AUUGAACGCUGGCGGCAGGCCUAACACAUGCAAGUCGAACGGUAGCACAGAGAGCUUGCUCUCGGGUGACGAGUGGCGGACGGGUGAGUAACGUCUGGGAAACUGCCCGAUGGAAGGGGAUAACUACUGGAAGCGGUAGCUAAUACCGCAUAACGUCGCAAGACCAAAGUGGGGGACCUUCGGGCCUCACACCAUCGGAUGUGCCCAGAUGGGAUUAGCUAGUAGGUGGGGUAAUGGCUCACCUAGGCGACGAUCCCUAGCUGGUCUGAGAGGAUGACCAGCCACACUGGAACUGAGACACGGUCCAGACUCCUACGGGAGGCAGCAGUGGGGAAUAUUGCACAAUUGGCGCAAGCCUGAUGCAGCCAUGCCGCGUGUAUGAAGCAGGCCUUCGGGUUGUAAAGUACUUUCAGCGGGGAGGAAGGCGGUGAAGUUAAUAACUUCACCGAUUGACGUUACCCGCAGAAGAAGCACCGGCUAACUCCGUGCCAGCCGCCGCGGUAA
rnacentral:rRNA from 1 species